GAUGAACGCUGGCGGCGUGCCUAAUACAUGCAAGUCGAGCGAACGGACGAGAAGCUCGCUUUCCUGAUGUUAGCGGCGGACGGGCGAGUAACACGUGGAUAACCUACCUAUAAGACUGGGAUAACUUCGGAAAACCGGAGCUAAUACCGCAUAAUAUUUUGAACCGCAUGGUUCAAAAGUGAAAGAGGGUCUUGCCGUCACUUAUAGAUGGAUCCGCGCUGCAUUAGCUAGUUGGUAAGGUAACGGCUUACCAAGGCAACGAUGCAUAGCCGACCUGAGAGGGUGAUCGGCCACACUGGAACUGAGACACGGUCCAGACUCCUACGGGAGGCAGCAGUAGGGAAUCUUCCGCAAUGGGCGAAAGCCUGACGGAGCAACGCCGCGUGAGUGAUGAAGGUCUUCGGAUCGUAAAGCUCUGUUAUUAGGGAAGAACAGAUGUAUAAGCAACUGUGCACAUCUUGACGGUACCUAAUCAAAAAGCCACGGCUAACUACGUG
rnacentral:rRNA from 1 species